UACGUAGGGGGCGAGCGUUGUCCGGAGUUACUGGGCGUAAAGCGCACGCAGGCGGUCUGCUAAGUUUGGAGUGACAGUUGGUGGCUUAACUGCCAAAGUGCUUCGAAAACUGACAGACUUGAGGGCUUCAGAGGGACACGGAAUUCCGGGUGGAGUGGUGAAAUGCGUAGAGAUCCGGAGGAACACCAAAGGCGAAGGCAGGUGUCCUGGGG
rnacentral:rRNA from 1 species